CUUAUACCUCAUAAUAGCAGGUGCUGAGACUGGCCCAGAAUUAAAGCUCAUAAACUUAUGAAUUUAAGUGCAGUCCCUCUUUCCCUUUGACAGCUUGCUCUCUAAAGUCUUUCUCCAUCAUUUCUGCUUCUCAAAUUUUUGUAGUUGUCCAUUACUAUGGGCUUUCAGUACAUUCUCCACUUACCUCAGAUUAUUUCACUCCCAUAACGUAUGUACAGCUGGUGGCGUAGGGGCCAGCUGUAGCCAACAAAUAUAUUUUCUUCGACAUGCUAUGUGGGCCUACAUGGGGUGGACCAAAAACAUUUGAACUAGUUGCUACCAUUGAAGUCAGAAGCUUUCACAUAAAAUCUAGACUUUUGACUUCUUCAUUGCUCUUAAAAAUUCGUCUAGCAACACUGGAUCCCAACCGAUUAGAGUUCAGAAAUAUCUUUUAGAUGGGGCAUGCACAGUUUAAUUUGUCAUUGUCUCCACAGAUCUGUGCUUGUUUUACUUAUAUUACUGGCCCAGACCCUGAAGACAUUAACUCUGUAACCUCUGUUCUAACCUUUGGAAUUUACCACCCGUUGGCUCCACUUCUCUCUUCAUACAUUUAUCAGAGUCCAGAGAGAGCCACAUGUCCAUACUGGGCUUCCUAGCUUUGGGUGGAGGACGAAACAGAAGCUCUUUGAAGAUAACUUCCUUCCUGAGUUUUUGAUAUCCAGAAACCUAAGCUCAAGAGGGUAUUAUGUUUUGGAGAAUUGAACCAGUAAUUAAAGAAAGAGAUAAAAGAUGGAGAUCAAGGAAGAGGAAAAACAAAGAUCAAGGUAAUCCAAAUUUCAGUUCAGCCCCUGGAUUAGUGAGCACGGACCACACUUCUUGAUUAGAACUCAGGAGAAGGAUGAAUUGCAGCCACAUCUAUAUUUCCAGUGCCUCCUCUGUCUUCCUUUUUGACCUCUUUGCCUCUCUUUUCUCAUAGGCUUAGAGUACAUUUAUGUCUGUUACCAACAAAAAAAUGGGCCUGGGUGACACUGGAACCAAGGAGAAGAGAACCUAAGAAUUCUCAACCCCCAAAUACACUGAUUUCUCCAUUUCCUCUGAGGUUUCCCACUAGAUCUUUUGAAAGUUCUCAAUAGGAAGAUAGUUUGUUAGUGUUGCAGAAGAAUUCGGUAAACCACCGAUUUCCAAUCCUUCUUGGUCCAAGACCAGUGCCUAAGACAGGCCAUUCCUCCAGAACACCAGGGGGAGCUGUUGUGCUGCCUCGUCCUGGCACCAAAAUUGUUCCAGGCGGGGCCUGGAGAUAGACACAUAUAUCCAAACCAUCAAGACAUGAGGACUUUAGGACAUACUAGUCACAGGGAGCAGAAUGUUUGAAAUUGGGAGGGUCCUAGAGUUUCCAGAACUAUGGUGGCCAGUGGCGCAUGGGGGAAAAUGUAGUUUCUGUCACACGUAUGUUCUGUCACCCCUGCAAACUUCUCCCUCUGAGUACAACCACUCACUGUGCUUUGUUUCGGGAUGAAAUCUACAGAUAAAACAGGUGAAAAGUGAAGUCCCCUAAAGUAAUAAAGAGAGAGCAUCUUGGAGGGGAAGAGAUGCAGACAGAAAUACCUCUGCCAUAAUAUAGCUCAUAUUCCAUGUCUCCCAAUUCUUGGAAUGUUUUAUUCCUUAAUAUUUUCCAAGGGCCCAGACCUGUGGUUGGAACAAUAGAUGCUCAGCAAAUACUUAUUGAAGGAAUGACUCCAGUUCCAGGGUUAGUCCUGCCCCUCUCUGAUCACUUGGUCCCUCUGGGAUUGUUUCCUUGUCUGCCAAUGGGUGCUGGUGGGCAGGAGGAGAAAGUGAGGUUGUACUAGCUAAUCACUGGGGUCCUCUCGAUUGGGGAUGUUCUAUAGUUUCCAUAUUCAAGGGCCUGGUUAGUUAAGUGUCUUAAGCAGGGCUCUUCUUUAUUGUUUCCUAGAAUAAACCAACCCAUAUAUGAAAGAGAAACGGUGCUAUUCCUGAGUGCACAUCAGAGUAUGGGCAUGUUGAAUCAAAACAAAAGAUCUCUUUUUAAGUUUUGGCUCAGUCCUCUGUUCAUUUCCAGGUGCCCCUGGAACUCACACGCGCUGCAGGUAAUGUGAUUCUAAUGUCUCUGUAGGUGAACAAAUUUAAUCUCUUUCUGCACGGCGGCCCCCAGUUUGGCUGGGCCAGUGCUCCUUCCUGUUUGCUUUCUGUUUCUCUGUAGGCUUCCUACUCCUAUUGGCAUCACUUAGCAAUGCUCGUUCACCCUGGCAGUUCUUGCCAGUAGCAGCCGGUGUUCCGGUUUGCAGUUUUUCCAACACAUCCAGAACCAGGCUCAUUGUUUCCCAACAGAAACACCACCACCAGUUGGCUGGCACCCCCUUCUCGGGGUCUGGGUGCCAUCUCCACAGGGCCCUCUGACUGCAGAGCGGUAGGCCUUUCACACGGCUGCAUUUCAGCUCUGUGGGUGUCUUCCUCCAAGCUUUUAAGUUUUAAUAAUUCUAAUACUCUCUUUUGUUCCCCUAGACUAAGAGAGUUAGCUGAUUCCUCUAAUUGCUACUCUUUGAUAUUUUAAUUUUCCCUUUGGCCUUUUCUGUCUUAGUGCUGAGUUAAUAAUUCUUUAUAUUAAAUUCUCCAUGUUAAAAUGACUGGUGUGGUUUCUGUCUCCCAAGACUAGAUCUUGACUGAUACAGAUCUAGAACAAGGGAGCCAGAGGUCAUGACCUCCCAGGCAUGCUAAGCUUUACGCUUGUGUGCAGGUGAAGUGGGUUCAAUCGGCCAAAGGUAGUCCUGCAAAGGGGAGUCGCCUGGGGCCCUGGGGUGGAAAAACACACCAAGGUUGGAGGAGCACGCAAAGACCCCAAAAGUGGAUCCCAGGGGAUCUGUACAGAGUCCUGGUGGUUUCUGCUACAUGGACAUAGAAAAUGCCAGGUUACAACACCCCAAGGCUCGGGGGCCAGCUGGUGAUUCAGGCAAUUGGUGCUCUGGGAGCUCAGGGAAGGGAAACACCAGUCAAGUCAAGGAGAAUCCGAAAGUUCCCUAGAGAGGUAGACAGAGAGAGGCGAACAGCGCUUUCCAGGCUGGAACACUGGUGACAAGAAUGGUCGAGGCACAUUGAGGGGCACAGAUUUGGCUCCAGGGAGGCCUCGUACACCAGGCCAAGGAAAUUGCUUGGGGCUUUGCUUCCGUAUGUUGGUAUCAUAUCACAACGUCAUCCUUAAAAGUCACAUAUAAAUGACUCACCUGCUGUGUACACCACCCACUAGGUGCCAGGAACAAGUUAGGGUUGAAACAAAAAGAUGUGCUUGCUCAAGAAAGGGAUCGGUCUUCCCUGGACAAGCUUUAGAUGAGCCUGGGAUGGCACCUUGGCUGCUGGCUCCUCUUGGAAGAAACAUCUGACUUGGUUUAUUUUUUAGAUAAAUUUGCAAUUGAUGAUGGGAUGUCAGACAGUAGGAGGUGUUUGGAUGUAUGAUCUGUAGAAAUGGGCCCUUCAGAUUUGCACUCCAUGUCUUCUUGGUUCCCUAAGCUAAACAUGAGCAGUUGGGCACACCUUGUCUGAACUACUCCUUAUCUCUCCUAGAUCCAGGCAUGGACAGGAUACAUGAUCUCCACACACAGAUUUUCCAGGAUGGUCCCAAGAGCGAAUAAGUUGGUUUGGGAAGUGUGGUCACAGUGGCCUUGCGCCAUACUGUCAAAAGGCACGGGUCCUCCUCUCAGGAAGCCUGUGCUUUAGUGAGUGAAGCUGCUUUGUUUUAUGACUUGGUGCUUUCACAGCCAAUGCACGUGGCCACCACAGAGGUACAAACACAUGAGCGAUCCUGACAUCUUUCCUUGAUCCCAUGGGAAGAGGAUGGGUAUGAAAAAGGGCAAAUGAAGGGGGUGUGGUGGUGAGGGGGCAGCUUGGAGAAAUGGAGAGUUUUCAGCUCCCCACGUGUGGUAAGUGGGUCCAGCGGGCAUGCUCCCUUAGGAAGAAGGAAGCUUGGAGAACCAGCCUUCAUUCUGUCACUGUCACCUUCUUCAGCUCCUCUUGGUCUCAUGUCUGGUGGGAGGGAGAGUGCGCUGCAGAACCACUUGGGAGAAGUGGAGCAUCCUUACUCUCAGUUCCAAACUCUGCUCGGCGCAGACGGGGUUCCGGACCAAAAUCCGCAUUUGUCCUUGACUGGGUAGCUGUGAACUGAGCAACCACAAAGUCGGUGGGGGCAAGUGGAGGAAGAGAAGUUCCAAAGAGACAACAGAAGAACUUGCAGGGGUGAGGCAGGAGAAAAGAUGAGCAGAGGAGAAAAGAUAGCCUUGCAGAGGUGAGAGGCACAGGGGUGGGGAGACUGGAGGAAGGAGGGAGGAGGAAAGGCAGGAGACAGCACGCCAGGACCUUUGUUCUCUGCCUCUUGGGGUGCAGGAGGCUGGAGUGGGCCAGACAAAGGCUCGGCUCCCUUUGUCUUUGCUGGCACUGGAGGGUCUCCUCAACCCCAAGGCUCUCGGGUCCUGGGUGGGCAGGGAAGGAGGCUGCGGGAGGGAGGGGCUGGGAGCUCUACCUGGGAGGCCUGGUUUGCCUCUUGGGCCCAGGAGUCACUGCAGCCUCGGGGGAGAGGGGUCCUGGGCCCCUCCCACCGCGGAGCGCUACCUGCCAGCCCUGCUUGCUGUGCAAGCAGGCGGAUCUCUCCUUUCCACGGUGCAGACUUGCAAGCCUGUUGUCUGCCUAAAUUUUUUCUUCCCCUCCUAGCUCCCCCCUCUUCUAAUUCUCAGAACUCACUCCCAUUGGAUUCCAGGAAAUGGCUGGUGCAACUUUGUAACCAAAUCCCCUGAAUCCUUUUGUAUACCGUGUCCGCUCCUCUGCCCCUCUGCAGUGCCCUUCACGGCUAGGUCCGGUUACAGAGAACAACUGUCCAGGCCAGGCUGGCCCUGAGACUCUCCAGGGAUCCCGCAGCUUCCGGGGGCCCUCCCCCCUCACUACUGGCCCGCCGGCCCUCCUGAGGGAGCGGAACUGUGGAGGCAAAUGCCCUGAAGCCCCAGACCUUGCCUCACACCCACCUCCCGAGUGAGUGUGCAGGGGGAGGAGGGUCCAUCUUGACAUGACCCUAAGGUGUGGCUCCCCGCGGGGCUCCCCAGCCUGGCCUCUGUCCUCCCUCCCUGACUCUUCUCUAGGGGUUGUGGGCUCUGGGACAGAUGGUCAGAGGACAUGCUUCCAUCAUCCUCAGAGAAAUCUCUGGUGUCUAACCCGGCUGAGGGCUGCAGUUUCCUUUUCUGCACCUUCCUCAUCUAGAUCCUUCCUCUUCUCUGUGGGAAUACUUUUGACCACGUCUUAUUCUACGAGAGAUGGGGAUGGACUCACUCAGGGUUAGCAAGCUUUUUCUGUAAAGGAACAGACAGUAAAUAUUUUAGUCUUUGCAGGGCCACAUCCAUAGAUGACAUCUUCCUUUCUUUUUCCACCUUGCCAUGCCCCCCGCCCCCCACAACUAUUUAAAAAUGUUAGGAAAAAAAAUCCUUGUUCAAAGGCUGUAUAAAGACAGGCCGCAGCCAGAUUUGGUCAUAGUUGGUUGACCCUUGGACUAGACGAUCUCUCUUACCUGCUGAAAAUGUCUUAAAAAUUUGUUCUGGGCCUAGACAGACCGAGCUGUGCUGACCUCUAACUCCUGUGUGCGUCAUCCUGGGAGUGUUGGCAAAGGGUGCCAGAAUCCAAUAAGUUUGGGAAACAGAGCCCUUCCCAUACGACUUCACAGAGCCUUUACUGUGUCAAGGGGAACCGACUCUCUCCCAGACUGCAGGAGUUUGCAGUGUGUUUGUCUGUAGAGCUGGCUUUGUGUUCUGCGAAAUACCCUUGGAGAAGCAUUUUCUAGAUGAAUCUUCUCCUAGCUUUGCCUUUGACUUCGAAGAAUCUAAUUUUCAUACGGAGUUCGGACCCUGUCCCCAGCAGCACUUAGCACGGUCGCUAGGAGGACACACCUAUUCACUGAGCAGCCUCCUCCCGCCGGGCGGAAGGGGCAGCAGGCUCUCCAGGCGAAAGAGGUCUGGACCUUGUGUGUGGAGGCAGGGAGGUGCCCAAGAGCCUGGAUGGGGCAGCAUGUGGGGAGUGUUGGCCCAGGCCCCAGGUGAUUUGAAUCAGGGUGUUUUCUAUUCCCCACCCAGAAGAGUUGGAGAACUCAUUCAUUAUCCCACUUGGAACACUGAGAGGUCCCCUCCAAGCCCAGCACCCCCAUGCGGGCACAUGCAGUCCGACCAGAGUCAGUGUUGCAAGAUAACUGACACUUUGAAUCACUGCGAACGCUCUACCUUUAUUGAGGAAUUGGACCAUCUUUGAAGCCACUGCUUUGCUUAUUGUGAUAAUGCGUGGUUAAGUAAAUCGAUAGGGCAGGCUUUCCCCACAUUGCCAAGAGGUGGAAACAGGAUCAGAGGCAUUUGUGGACUUUCCUCAGGCACUGAGUAAGUCCUUGGCUGGAACAGGGACCAAAAGCCCCUUUGCUGGUAUUGUGGCAGGAACCAGGGCUAAUGCCCAUUAAGGCCUCAUCUGCGAGGGAGGUCGGCUGAUGGACCAGAUGUGCCUCCCAGAUGUUCCUCCUAGGCUCAGCCUGUGUGGCAUGAGGGCCUAACCAAGGGGAUUUUUAAUCCCGGGGAAAAUGGUUGUCAUCCAGGGCUGGCUCAAAAACUGGCAAAGUCUGCUGUGAGUGAAACCAAGAAGUAGGGCCAAAAAGCAAAGAGAGGUUUCCAUGAGAUCCUGGGCAGCGGCCGUGGGGCGAGGUGGGGCUGCGGCCCGGAGUGAGGGCGGGCAGGGCCUGUCCACUCGUGUGGAGGCUGCCAGCAUGCUGGUCUGGGGCGUCCUUGCUGUGCUGUGGCUGACUGCAGUUCCUUCUCCUCUCUGGGUCUGUUUUCUCCUCCAUCGGCCUCCCUGCUCCAGAACUGGGAGGGAGAUAGAUCCAAGUACGUGAGGAGAAUAUCUGGCCAACAGUCAAAUUCAUGGCGGAGGCCAUGACUGUUACUGAGGGAGGUGAGUUUAGGAGGUGGCUGUCGGAAUGUCUGGAGGGCCCAGAGGAAACCCUGGAGCCCUGGGUGUGUUUAAACGUGUCUAUCAUUCUAGGCUCAGAGGAGUCUGCUCCUGCAGAACCUCAGUGGAGCGGAGGGGUUUUCUGCGGUUGAGGCAGGGAGGGCCCUGUAGCCCCAUCCCCUUCUGCCUCUCCAUCACCUCUCUCAGUGGUUUCUAAGGCAAGAUGCAGGAUCCUGGGGCUUCCAUGGAACACAGUUUAGAAAUCCCUGGGGAAGCCUAAUUAAUUCCACAAGUUAUCAGGCAAACUGGGGAACCUGUGCCUCAUAUGGGCUCUUGGGUGGCUCCAACUGCUCCCUCAGGAGUCUGGCCAAGAGCAGGGGGUUGGGAGGCCUGUUCAUUUGCCAAGCCAGGCCUGCUGCUCCACAGCCCAGGGGUCGGCCCUGCUGCUAGAAGGACGGAGGUGGGAGCUCCUACCAGGGCAGGUGCCACCAGUGACUGAGGAAUCCAUUUCCCUUGGGGGCCAGAGGGGUGAAGGGUUGACAGUGCAAAGAAGCAGGAGCUAAGCCAAGAAGAGCAGCCACUUCUCUGGGUCCUCUGACUUUCCCCACGUGGGUCCCAAUAAGCCAGACUUUGAAGCAGUACCCCACCACCACUCUGCAGAAUGCCAGACCCUUUGGAUCUUCACUCUAGGAGCCCCCCUCACUUUUUUUCCUUCCUUCCUUAGAGCAAGUUUGGCAAACAUUGCAGCCUGUAAGCCCUGUGGGAGACUCACGAUGCCCAAGAGCAUAGCCAGGGUCCGGAGAAGGCUUGCAUGAAAGAAACCAGUUCUUUGCAUAGCCAUGUCUCACUUUUCUUCGAGCAGCACCUGAUGAUUAUCCCCGGGGCUUGGAUUUUACGUCGAAUUCUCCUUAUGCUGAAGUCAAGUCUGUUCAUUCAUAGCAUCCUCCAUCACUGGGGCUCUUUGCUGUUUGUUGGGUCUCUCCCUUAAUAGGGUUUGAUCUCCACAAGAGCAGGGACUUUGUUUAACUGAGAACAGUGCUUGCACCCAGUGGACAGUCAAUAUUUGUUGAACAGAAGCAUCAGUGAGUGGCCUGGGUGCCAGAGAAGGCAGCAGUGUGGACCGUAUCUUUACCUGUGCCGCCCCCCCUGCUAGGAACGCCUCCCCUGUCCUCUGCUCCCCUAUUCCACGCCUAUCGCUUCUCUCCAGUCUCUGACUCACCCCGUCUAAGGAGUCUUCUUGGCUACCCACCACCUGCCACCGUCCAUCCUGGGCCACACUCCCUUGGACACCUGUUCCUACUUCAUCAGACCUUGCUUACUUGGCUUUCUUCUCUGGGUAAAUUAAGGAGAGCAGGUUCAAUUCAGGGAGCAGCCUGAAGGCUGAACUGUGAUGACCGAUUGGACCCAUCUGGGAUGGAUGCUGAAGAUAGAGACAAUCACAGGCCCUGAGCUCAGGGGCCCCCUGUCCAGUGGGGGUCAUCUCCCACUGGGUCCCCAGAGCCAACUGUUCAAUUUUCAGGGUUUUUUCAAGCCAGUUGCCAAACAUGGCCCUUUGCUAAAUCAGGGUUGAACUGCAACUGUAGGCUUGCUACAGAUACAAGGGUUUGGCAACAAUCCAGAAAAGCAUUCUCUGGGAAUCAAUUGGCUAUACAGAAUUGACAAUAAAG
ensembl:lncRNA